rnacentral:rRNA from 1 species
UAUAGGUUUGGUCCCAGCCUUCCUGUUAACUUUCAAUAGACUUAUACAUGCAAGCAUCCACGCCCCGGUGAGUAACGCCCUUCGAAUCACACAGGACUAAAAGGAGCAGGUAUCAAGCACACACUCUUGUAGCUCACAACGCCUUGCUUAACCACACCCCCAACGGAGACAGCAGUAACAAAAAUUAAGCCAUAAACGAAAGUUUGACUAAGCCAUAUUGACUAGGGUUGGUAAAUCUCGUGCCAGCCACCGCGGUCAUACGACUGACCCAAGUUUACAGGAGUUCGGCGUAAAGCAUGUUAAAGCAUCAUACUAAAUAGAGUUAAAUUUUAAUUAAACUGUAAAAAGCCAUAAUUAUAACAAAAAUAAAUGACGAAAGUAACCCUACAAUAGCUGAUACACCAUAGCUAAGACCCAAACUGGGAUUAGAUACCCCACUAUGCUUAGCCCUAAACACAAAUAAUUAU